GGCAGCAGCCUAGAGAAUGCAAAGGUUAUUCGAUUUCCCCAAAUUGGCUUUCCAUGGGCAGAUCUGUGAAGUUUCUGAAGACAAAAAGAGAGGUCAUCGCUUCUUUCCAUCACACUUGCCAUAUACGUCCUGUGAGAGUCACCUGGAGACCCACACACUGCCUGCCUUCAAAGCUUCCUGACAUGAGAACAUACUCUCUGUUACCCAGAUUCCCACCAUGGUGAGUGUACGUCCGGCUGCGCGGCCAUGCGGGGGUCUGAGCAUCGCAUGGCCCAGAUUCCUUUCCUGACUUGCAAUUGUUCUGCUCCGUGACCUAUCUCCGUCAUCGCUCCCCACAGCCCUGAUUGCUGUCGCCCUCAAGUCCUGGGAAAGGCACUUAACCUCCCUGAGAUUCAGUUGUGACCUCUGUGAAAGAAAUUGUUCUGCAGCCUCACGCAAGAAGUGCUCUGGAAGCUGGGAAUGAGCUGCUUUUGCUCGUUAGCGAGAGCUCAACGGAGUUAAAAGUGGAGAAAGAAAUAGCAUAUGACCCCGAUAAUCCCUUCUGAUGCCUGCGCUGUGCCCCGCUACCUGACCUGCCUGUUCUGGGCCUACGCGAGGAGCCGUGGGAGCCGCGCAUCUCCCGCCCUGGGGCUGGCAGGGCCCCCGUGCUCACGUGGCAUUUCGGCGCUGUGCUCUCUCACACCCAGAUGUUUGCAUGGAGCAUACCAAGCAUUUUGAUAUCUUUUUGCCUUCAUCCCGAAGCUUUGCUGAGCAACUGAGCUCUCCCCUGCCCUACUGCUGAGUAUCUCACCUCCUGGUGCACUCUUCAUCUUCACCGUGUGAGUUAAGCCCUAGUUGCCCACGCUGAAAAUUUCAGAAGUCCUGAAUGAAUUUCUUCCCCUGCUGGAAAGGAAGUUGUCUCUUUUGUUUGAGAGCCGUGGCACGCUGCAGCAGGCUUCCUGUUAAGAUGCUUUCUCGUCCCAGUAACCCUUUGUGUCAUCCAAAACUCAUCUCAUGAGCCGUGCGAGGAAUGCAGGCCUACACAUAAUCCUGAGGAACGUUUGGUUCAGUGAAUGUCAGCGAAGCAGCUGGCCCCAUCCUAAAUGCUAAUAUCAGACAAAAGGUACCUGCAAAGCAACACUGAUGGAAAAAUCCCUAUGAAAAAUAAAAUCCUAU
rnacentral:lncRNA from 7 species